rnacentral:tRNA from 1 species
AGCCUUAUAUUCAUAUAAUGAUUAUAGAAUGCAAUUCUGUAGGAGUAGCUUAAUUACUACUAAGGCUU